UACGGGGGGAGCAAGCGUUGUUCGGAUUUACUGGCGUAAAGGGCGCGUAGGCGGUCAGCACAAGUCAGUUGUGAAAUCUCCGGGCUUAACCCGGAAAGGUCAACUGAUACUGUGCGACUAGAGUGCGGAAGGGGCAACUGGAAUUCUCGGUGUAGCGGUGAAAUGCGUAGAUAUCGAGAGGAACACCUGCGGCGAAGGCGGGUUGCUGGGCCGACACUGACGCUGAUGCGCGAAAGCCAGGGGAGCGAACGGG
rnacentral:rRNA from 1 species